UCAUCAUGUCUAAAAUAUGAAAAUACUCACUAGCAACCCAUAGGUCUAGUCUAUGCCUCAAGUGAAGGUUUACUAAGUUCACUAUGUCCAAUGCCUCUUUAUGGCAUCAUCUCACUAUGUCCAAAACCAUUCCAAGCUUAAUGCCGCUUUAUGACAUUAGCUUACUAAAUCCAUCUCUAGUCCAAGCCUAAUGCCGCUUUAUGACAUUAGCUU
rnacentral:lncRNA from 1 species